rnacentral:rRNA from 1 species
UAAUACGUAGGAGACUAGCGUUGUCCGGAAUUACUGGGUGUAAAGCGCGUGUAGGCGGCAUACCAAGUCUGUUGUGAAAUCGCCCGGCUCAACUGGGCGGGGUCAAUGGAAACUGGUAAGCUGGAGGACGGUAGAGGCGAGUGGAAUUCCCGGUGUAGUGGUGAAAUGCGUAGAUAUCGGGAGGAACACCUGUGGCGAAGGCGGCUCGCUGGGCCGAUCCUGACGCUGAGACGCGAAGGCGUGGGGAGCGAACGGGAUUAGAUACCCCGGUAGUCCACGCAGUAAACGAUGUCAACUAGGUGGUGGGGGUAUCGAGCCCCUCGCUGCCGUAGCUAACGCAGUAAGUUGACCACCUGGGGAGUACGGCCGCAAGGUUA